UACGGGGGGAGCAAGCGUUGUUCGGAUUUACUGGGCGUAAAGGGCGCGUAGGCGGCGCAACAAGUCACUUGUGAAAUCUCCGGGCUUAACUCGGAGCGGCCAAGUGAUACUGUCGUGCUAGAGUGCGGAAGGGGCUACUGGAAUUCUCGGUGUAGCGGUGAAAUGCGUAGAUAUCGAGAGGAACACCUGCGGCGAAGGCGGGUAGCUGGGCCGACACUGACGCUGAGGCGCGAAAGCUAGGGGAGCAAACGGG
rnacentral:rRNA from 1 species